AUUUUUCUUGGUCUUGCAUAGCUGCACCGCUUGCGCACUUUUCCUUUGGUCUUUGAAGGGACAUUUUUCUGUGGAGGAAAAAACUCUCUACUGAUGAUGGAACAUACUUUUCGCUGAAGCACUUGAUUCUACUCGUCAGCAAUUUCCUUCCCACUAAAUUCUCGAAAUGUCUUGAGACAUUUUGUGAGUAACUGAGCUGAGCAUCAGGCCAGAACAAGACAUCACAGAAACCGACAUUUUAUUUCUGCGCACACAGAGCUACAGUACCAAACUAAGCUAUACACGCGGGUGCAUACUGGCAUCCUCUUGGAGCUGGCUCCAUCACACAGUUUCCUACGGGUCACAUUACAUUACACAACGAACGAGUCGGUGACGCGGGGUGGAACAAAAUUCAAGCGUCGCCAAGGUGGUUGUCUUCGUUCAGCCUCGCCGCCGUGGUCACCGCCGCGCCCACCCCGCCGGCCCUGGCGUGGGCUUCAGCGUCGUUGAACGUCUCCGCCUGGAUCACCCUCGUCGCGUCCUCCGCCCCCGCGGCCUUGUCUCCGGCUAGCUUCGCCGUCGCGUCCUGCGGCGCGCCCAGACAAGCACAGCAGAGCAUCGUCAGUUACAUGGUUCAUCAGAAGCUUGCAGAGCAUUCAACACUGCCGCAUCAGCUGGCUCACCGAGAGGACGUCGCCGAGCUUGACCUUGUCGCCGUCGCGCGUGGCCUGGGCGUUGGCGCGCGCCGCGGCCUGCGCCUGGUCGCCGAGGCCGCCGGGCAUGGCGACGUCGGCCCUGUGCGCGCUCAUCUCCGCGGCGCGGAUGGCCUCGGCGUCGGCGCGGUCGAUGGGGCGCCCGCCUCCGGCCCUCGCCGUCGCCUCCAGCGCCUCGCCGAUGGUGAUCUUGGUGGCGUCCUCCUCGGCAGCCGGCGGCGGAUCCGCCACGGAGUACUGGCCCACGACCUGGCCCGCGACGAACUCCGUGACGACGCGGCCGCCCGGCACGGCGGUCUGGGUGACGGUGAUGCCCUGGACGGCGGCGGCGUCGCUGGCCUGGCCCGGGCGCACGGCGCCGACGGCCUGGUUGUAGGCCGCCGCCGUCUCCAUGGCCGUCGCGGCGCUGAAGCCGCCGCCGGCGCCCUCGGGGACCUGGACGCCCGGCACGCUGUCCUCAGCGGAACGCAUGGCGGCCGCGUCGCGCGGCGCGAUGGGCUGGCCCGCGAGGUAGCCCGUCACGGCGAACACGUGCCCGUACCUGAUGGCCGCCUGCUCCGGCUGCAGGUCCUGCAGGCCCUGGCCCUGGCCCAGCUGGGCCUUGUCGCUCUGCUGCUGCGCCUGGAGCGGGUCCUCUUCUCUCCUUGGCUGCGCCUGCGCCAUUGCUACCUCUCGAUCUGCGCUCGGUCUUCUUCUCUAGCGAGUUCGUGGAGUGGAUCUCGGCAGGGUGAACUAGCCUGCCUUUCUGCCACGCCGAUUUUAUGCAUAGUGUUUGGGAUGGGCCUGGACAUGGAUAUGGCCAUCCGUGGUCGGCGUCGGCGCGCGCACAGCGUGGUGACGCGUGCGGCGCACCGGCUGACGCGCCCUGCCUUCGUGUCGUCGACAAAAAGGUUGGCCGGCGAAGGCAUGAGCUGCACGUGUACAGACGCUUCGUGUAAGUUGUCCUCGUGUCGUCUCGUUGCAGAGUUCGAUUGCACCGAUAUACUGGACGCGUAAGGGUCUGUUUGGAUCCAUGAGGUUAGAUCUGCACUUUUAGAUCAAAAUUUAGUUCUUGGAAUCCAAACAGGUGGAUAAAAAGUGAUAAAUAGCUAAACUUUGGACUAAAAAUUUUAACUCCCAAAGAGGCCCUAAACUGGGCUAAAAGUGAUCCCAGGACCACAAAUUCCACCCCUGCCUCCCUUUCCUCUCUCCUCCAUGUGGUCCCUUGCCCCUCCCGCACUUCCUCUCUCCUCCGCCACCCACGCCCGCCGCCUCCACCCCCCCCCCCCGCCUCGCCUUCGGCCCCCCGCCUCCUCCGGCCGGCCCCCCGCCUGCAGGCUAACCAAUGCGGGCGCCGGGCCUGCUACGACGAGGAAGCGGCGGCGGCAAAUUGGGGAAGUCGGCAUGCGGGUUGCAGUCCGUGGAGAAGAAGUCGUUGUGCUCCGGGGUCCUCCUUGCCGUUGGUGCUUGUCGGUGUUUUAGACCGGCAACCCACCUAGGGGGUACCCUAGGUGGUCUUUUGUGCGGCAAGGAUCGUCGAGAAUCAAGGAAUCAAUGAUGACGCAAGGAACACGAUUUAGACAGGUUCGGACCGCUAGAUCGCGUAAUACCCUACGUCCUGUGUGGUUGUUUGUAUUGAUCUUAGAUACACUUGGAGUGUCCUUUUAAGGGGGUCCCUACCCGCCCUUAUAUACACGGGAGGGCAGGGUUACAAGUCCGAGUCCUAGUCCAGUACAGUUACAGAGUUCUACUCGAUGUGGCCCGAGUAGUUUUCCAUAUGCAUACUUGACUAGUCCGAGUGGGACAAGCCUAUCCCUUUGUCCUGAUCACAUCCGAGUACGUCCCUUAGUGAGCCGUCCAAAGUCUACUCGUGGCCUGGGGUGCAUGCCCGACAGCGCUCGGGUUGGGCUCCAGCGAGAAGUCCUCCCCCAGGCACAAGUAGCACAACACCUCCGCCCGACCCCGCCUCCGCUCGGCCCCGCCGCCUCCGGCCGACCCCCCGCGGCCUCCGCCCGCACGUGCGCGGCGAGGAAGAGGAACGCCGCCGACGCCGGGUCGAGACGCCGGGUGCGAGCGGCGACGGCGACGGCGACGUGGAGGGCUGGUUGUUGUUGUGGUGGUGGUGCUGCUGGUGGAGAGGAGGGGUAGGGAAGGAGGGUAAUAGUGUCUUUGUUGAACAACAUUUAUAGACUUUAAUCCAUUUUAGUCCAUGGAUCCAAACAACCCAGAAGAACUAAAUUUUAGGGGCUAAACUUUAGGAGCUAAAAUUUAGCUCAUGAACUACUGAUCCAAACACCACCUAAGUCUUAAUGUUUAUAUACUAAUUAGAGUAUUAAAUAUAAUUUAAUUAUAAAAUCAAGUUCGAUUGCACCGAUAUACUGGACGCGUAAGUCUUAAUGUUUAUAUACUAAUUAGAGUAUUAAAUAUAAUUUAAUUAUAAAAUCAAGUUCGAUUGCACCGUAUACUAAUUAGAGUAUUAAAUAUAGUUUAAUUAUAAAAUCAAUUGUAUAAAUGAAAACUAAUUCGCGAGACGAAUCUAUUAAGCUUCAUGAUUUGAACAUGUGAUAUUAUAGUAAAUAUGUGCUAAUUAUGGAUUAAUUAGGCUCAAUAAAUUCAUCUCGCGAAUUAACCACGGCUUAUGCAACUAGUUUUAUAAUUAAUUCAUAUUUAGUGCUUUCCAAAUAUCCGAUAUGAUCCGUCCAUAGCCAAACAUCCGAAUCCACCAGGCCGUACCUGUAGAUUUGGGUCCUUGGAAUAAAACAAAAGAUAAAAUAGAGUACAAGGAAAACACUAAUGUCGAAAAAUGAGUUUUUCGUAUUAUGUAUGCUAAUAUAUUUAUUUAAAAUUAAGAUUAAAGAAAGUCUCUGUGGUGGAUCCACUUCGGAUCUACUCGGUUAAACACGAUUUAGCCGCCUGAUACGCGACGUUCAUGUCUCAGCCGAGUAAACACGAAGUGCCGUCGGAUUUCCUCCGAUUUAACCACUUGAACAGGACCAUUUUAGCAGACUCACACGAAGGUGAGCGGUUCCAGAGAGUACAACAAGUCCACCGAGUUAACAACUUAACCAUUUAGUUUGGUUAUGAAAUAACAUCAGAGUUUUACAAGGUUUCAGAGAAAACACAGAAGGUAAAACACUAGCGGAAGCAAUCGUCGGGGUCGGACGUCCUGGUGAGGCCAGCCGGGACAUCACUGAUCCCUCUCCUCGCCGUCCAAGGAGGGAUCCCACUCGACCGUCCAACCCGGAGGGAGCUGAGGCGGCCAAGUGCCAACAGGAGGAGGGUCGGGAGCAGCAACCUCACCUGAAAAACAGGAGCCACAACAAGGCUGAGCUACUAAGCUCAACAAGACUUAACCGACAGGAGUAAAACUACUCCACCAUUCUAGACAUGCAGGGCUUUUUGGCUGAGGGGUUUGUUUGCCAAAAGCACUAAGUAAAACCCUAUUUUCAAGUUUUAGCUCCGGUUCUAAGUUCAUUAGCCGGUCUAGGUUUUUGCAACCUAUUCUAAACAAACAUAGAACUCAAGCAAGGUAUGUAUAUAUCAUCAAAACCAUGUCAUCAUCAGAUUCCUCAUUUACUCAGGGUGACAUAGCGAUCAAGCAGUCUCAAACUGUGAGAGGCAGACGAAUCGAUUCGAGUUCUUUAACCAUGCAUGGUGAACCUAACCUCACGACAUCCGCGCACCUGGGGGUCGCUUCCUGUGUCGGCCUUCCCCAUCAAUCCCCUAACCCGUGUCGGGCCCAUUUCCUUUGGCGCAAGGUUCCACAGACCCGACCUCUGCCGUUCUGUGACCACGCUUGCCACCACGUGCGACAACCAGCAGGGGAAACUCCGUUCCAAAAACAAUGGGGCGACCGCUCACGUCUAGGUUCAAUUCGGUACUAGGCUUCCUCAUCCCAUACUAAGUAUGAGGUUAGUACUUUCAAACACUUGAUCACGAACACCACCACUGUCGGGCCUUAGCAAGUUUUCAUAGACAGACGGGGCGAUCAUCCGACCACCAAAGAGUUACCCAAAACCCUGCCCCGUCCAUCGUCCUUAUAGUUGUAACAGAAAGAUAGACAUCCAACUCCUACAACUCGCGAGUGACAGGGAAUCACUCGACUUUUACCGUCUCCUAGUUAAGCAAGCAGCUACUCGGUCCAACAGCUAGUGUUCAGAUCAUGGGAACAACUAAGUCAUGCAUCUAGGGUUUCAAGCAACUCCUAUACGUAAAUGCACAAGCAUGUUACAGAAGGCAUGCGUAAGUCUGGUAAAACAACACCGGGUUUUCAUGCAACCGGGGCUUGCCUUCAAGCAAGGAGGAAGAGAACUGCUCGACUUCGGGGGCGGCUUCGGCUUCAGAGGGCAGGAGCUCAGCUACACCGUCGUCUUCUGGCGCCGGGUGCAGUUCAUAGAAGCCGUCGGCGAGGCGCAGCUCUACACGAAUGCAAUGCAAGAGUUAGCAUAGACGGUUAUUUCAACAGCAACACUUGCACGUCUGAGCCCAGAAACUUGCGACAAAAAGCAGGAGAGUGGGGAGGCUCAAGGGAGCUGGUGGAGAUCAAGAGGUAAGGGUCGGGAAAGGAACUUAUGAUCUGAUCCUUAAACUAGAGGAUUUGGUAUACUAGGAUCCUCAGACGCAAGCGCUGAAGGGUGCCUAAGUUUUACACAUACACCCUCAGGUUGAAGAAAAAGAUCACAGCCGAACCCUCGGGCGAGGCGGAUAAGGGUCGGCGGAACAGAUAGGGCCGGGCGAGACGGAACCGGGGUCGGGCGAAGCGGACUGGGGUCGGCAGCUUACCUUCUUCCUACAAGGAAAGCUUGGGGUCGGGAAAAAGCAGACUUGGGCGGAGGGACUAAGGCUCUGAACAACGGCUAAGACCGGCAGUGCUCCGGCAGCGGCGGUGCUUCUUGUGGAUCACAAGUGAGCUUUUACGCAGCACGGAGGAGCAAGCGGCUGGGUGGCUUGGGGAAAACGGAGGGGAGCUGAGAGGAGAGUUCCUUAGGAACUUAGGGUGUGGUGCUGGGAGCUUGAGCAGGGAGCAAGAGAAAUGGCGGAAGGCAGCAAUGGCGGAGGGAACUCCGGCGGGCUCGCGCAUUCCCUUUUAUAGCUGCUGGGACGGGGAAGGGAAGCGGCGCGGGAGAGAGAAGGGGAGCGGCGCGAAGGCCGGGGAAGAAGCAAUAGAGUGCUCUGCCUGGGCGGCAAUUGAGCGACGAGGGCGGUGGUGCAGGACUUCGGGGAUGACGCCAACGGUCAUCGGCUCUGGCAUCAGGGCGGCGUAGGAGCGGGUAUGCCGGUGGUUGAGAUUUGGCGGAGGCGGGCGUCGCCGUGCGGUAGAUUUGAUAGAAGCGACCGGUUAAACGGCGCUAGAAUCGAGGGCGCACAGGUGAGAAGACAGGCAGCCGCGGGCGCGCGGGCGCGCGCGGAGCAACAGAUUGUCGGGCGGCUUCUGACAGGGCGGGGAAAGGAGCUGUCGCUGCCGUGGUCGGGGUUGGCGAAGGAGGAAUCGUCGGGUAGCGAAGACCAGGCGGCGCGACUGUGUUCGAAGUGACGGAAAAGACGGGCGACAUCGGGCUCUGCGGCCGGGAUCUGGCGGUGUGAUGAUGGGUGCGGGAGGCGAGGCGCUGCAGAAAGGUUGCAGAGGGGCUUCCGCUGCCAUUGGGGAAGGGGGCGCGAGAAUCCAUUCGGUCGCGAGCCAGAGACAAGGCUGAGCGGCGGGCGUCGGAGAAGAUGAGCCACGCGGCGGGGAGACUCUGAAGCGGGCAUGCAACUCGAGUGCGCCUGUCGCGGAAGAUCUGGGGCAAAAAGAUCUCGUGGGUCCACCGGUCAGAUAGAACGGACGUUUGGGAAAGACUUAGAAGAUCCGACGGUGGGCCGGUUUUUGGCGGGGUCGGAACCGAAGCAAGGCGGGGAGGGGUCGGGUUUCAGGGGUCGGGACCGGUCGGAAGGUUGAACACUCAGGCGCGGCAAACUAGACAGAUGAUCAGGGGCUAGGAUUAAGAUUAACUGGGAAGGUUUGGGGCCGGUCGUCACAGUCUCCGAGCAGUGAAUUUGUCAAGCUGCAUUACUGAAAUCAUGAGAUUCUGGCGCUGCGGGCUGCACUAUUGGACUGAUCUCACACCGAGUGUCGCAGCCAUAACCGGAUAGCCCUAAUCCUUGGCCACUUUUUGUCAAUAGAUUUUUAAGAGAAAAUUUGUUGAAUUUAUUUUAUAUUUAGAUGAUGUCCUCUAAUGUUACAAAUAUUAUUAUGUAAUAUUUUAAAAAUAUUUUAGGGUAGGAAAUGUAAAGGUUUUAUAAUGUUGUAGAUAUUAUUUUAUGAUGUUUCAAACUUUGUUCUCUUCUCGUUCCAAUCAUAUGAAACAUGGGAGGAUAACAUCAGUAACAUUGCAGAACAUCAUUCGCAACACUAUAAAAUUUGAUAGAUUUCACCUUAGAAAUCCAUCCAUAGAUAAAUAGAUAUUUCCUAAAAACUAUCCAUUUGUAUUAAGAUGUAAAAGAGAGAAACAGUUUACAUCUUCCACUCGAAGGAAAACGCCCAAUGACAAAUUCUAUCUUGUGCUCUCUCCAUCCAAAAAAAAAUUAUUUUAGGAUUGUCCUAAGUCAAAAUUAUUUUAAGUUUGACCAAAUUUAGAGAAACAAACUACAUAUAUUUAUGGUAUGAAAUAAGUGCCAUUGAAUUUAUCAUGAGAUAUAUUUUUAUAAUAUACCUAUUUAAUACCAUAAAUAUUGAUAAUUUUCUCUAUAAAUUUAAUAAAAAUUUAGAAAGUUUGACUAAGACAACUAAAAUGACUUUUUUUUACGGAAGGAGUAAACACCAAACGUUCAGCGUAUCUCGUAAAUACUUGCAACGUACUUACAACAAUGAGCAGGCCAUGCAUAACAACAGCAUAGCAGCCUAAAAGGCCCAUUCAAGAACGAGCCCAACAAACUAACCUAACACGUUGCGAGGCCCAUUCAAGAACGAGCCCAACAAACUAACUUGUGCAUCUAGGCUCGUUCAAGAAUGAGUCCAGCAAAAAUUAUAUAUCUAAAAGAGGUAUAAACGACUUAUAAUUUAAAAUGGAGAGAAUUUUGUUUAGAUCAUAUAAGCAAUAUUUUCAAUGUUAUUCUCAUUGAUAUCCUGCUGUAGUGCUACUGGAGGGAUGCUAUGCAUAUCUACUCAAAGUUUUGGGGCCUCUUAAUUUUUGAGGGACCUGUUAGCUCGAACAAACAAAUCGUUAGGGUUCGAGUCAUGGUGCUCACGACUUCCACAGGCGAACAAUUGCAGCAAUUUAUCUUUUGACAUGUGAUCAGAGUCCGAAGAUAUGCUCUUGGGUAUGCUCUUUUGACAAUGUAUGCUAGUAAAGCUAAGGAAACAUGCAACGAUAUUUUACACAACAAUCUUACUUUGCGGCACUGUGGGCACAAUCAGAUCGCAGCAACAACCAGUAGAAUUGUAGAAUCACAGAUGCAACGUUUGAAAACUAACCCAUGGGUCAACCGGAUUUACCGAGCCAGGAGCCACCAAGAAGAAAAAGCAGAGCACAUCGGACGGGUGCCUCACCAACGAAGACCGAAAUGCGCCGCCCCAAACGACAUGCACCGCAGAUCCAACGGCAUAUGUGGGCCCUAACCAAACUUCCAAUCCAGGAGAGAAGACAGAAGAGAUCGCCCUUCAAAUCGAAACAACUCGCGAGAACCCUGAAACCGCCCCUCCCUUCUCGGCUUCACCCCACUCAAGCACUCCUCUCCACCGGGCAAGCGCCGCCCCCCAGUCCUUCUCGGUUUCUUUUUUCUUCGUCGUGACAAUCCCCCCUCCUUUCUUGGCUUCUUUGUUGAUCCCCCGACGUUCUUGGCACGCAGGCGGCCGGGGCCGCCUCGCCGCUGAUGCAAUCUUCCGGCGGCGGGGCCAGCCGGGGGAAGGUUCGCGGUAAGAAGAGGCGCCUCGAGCGCGCGAUGGCCUCCGGAGCCGUCGAGGGGGAGGCAGCCGGUCGCGCCAGUAACGGCGGCGGCUGCGGCGACGGCGAAGGCCUCCCCCUGCUGGUGGAGGAGACCGUCGGGCGCCCGCUGCCGGGCUACGAGGCGCCGACGGGGCUCAGCUUCAGCCCCGAUGACCGCCGCAUCGCCUUCCUCUUCAGCCCCGACGGCACCCUGCACCGCAGCGUGUUCAUCUUCGACAUCGCGGAUGGGAGGCGGGAGCUGCUAUUCACGCCCCCCGACGGCGGCGGGCUCCAGGAGGGCAAUCUCUCCGCCGAGGAGCUGCUGAGGCGGGAGCGUGCCCGCGAGCAUGGCCUCGGGGUCACGUACUACGAGUGGAGCUUCGGCUCGGACAGUAGCCCCGACGGUAUCGUCGUGCCCCUCCCGUCCGGGGUUAGUACCUUCUUGCCGACCUCUUGUUUGGUUCCAUGACAUCAAGUUUAAAUGGAUUCCUUAAUUGUUGUUUAAAUGGAUUUGUAGCUUGAUUAUCAAUGGGUUGUUAAAUGCCUCUUGUUGUUUGGUUCACUUUCUUGCCUGCCAUCCAAUUUUAGUCGUUAUAUGACCUCUCUGACCCGGACAUUUUUUAUUAAGUAGUGACAUGCCUACUAGAGUUGCAUUCGGGUUUACUCACUUCAUGAUGCAUUUUGGUUACUUGGAUUGAUUACCAAUCAUGAGAUUUUCCUUUUUUGGGCUGUACUGUCUGCUGUCUGGUCCUUUGAAUGCUAGUAGUGUAUGCAGAAUUGUAAGACAUUAUCUGGUUAUCAAGAAGGCGCACUUGUUUUGUGAUUUUUAUCGGUAGCAAUCAGGCAAGAUUUUUGGUGCUCAAGAACAAAAUUCUGUAUUCCUUUUAAUUGUUGAAAUGCAAGGUCCAAAAGAUCUCUAGUGCUGUUAACUUUUUUCUGUUACACUCUUCCAUGUUCUGGAAAAAAAAAUAUAAUGUGGUUAAACAAAUUUUAGAUAUUACAUGAUGCAAUAUUUCAUCUUUUCAAUAGGUUUACUUCCAGGAUUUCCGUGGUUCAGAGCCAGAACUCAAGCUACAAAGUUCACCUACUUCCCCAAUCAUUGAUCCACAUCUUUCUCCAUGUGGUAGCAUGAUUGCUUUUGUAAGGGAUGAUGAGCUUUAUACGUUGGAUUUUUUUGAUGGUGUAAUUAGGCAACUGACAUUUGGUGCUAGAGAAAGUGGAAAGGUAUGUAUGCAUUCUCACUGAUCAAAAUAUUCUUCAUUGAUGUCAUUUCGUCAAAGUUAGUGAUUGUUAUUAAUGUGGUUGCAAGAAACCCGCAAAAGGAAAACAAGUUUGCAAGAGAACUUUUCAAAUGCCUUGUUUUUCUUGAUAUUUGUCAAACUAUCCCCAUUAAGUAAAUUUGUUAUUUUUUACGAUCAUAUAAUGUGUAGGAACUCUAUAUAUAUAUAUAUAUGUGUGUGUGUGUGUGUGCGCGCUAGCGCUAGCCUUUCAUCGUUAAUUGCACAUGCGAAUUGUUUUCCUUGUCAAGGCUGCUUUUUAUAUAUAUUCAACAUGGAUGUGUAUGAUGAUUUGUUUUCUCAUGGACAUAUGCAAUAGAGUGUGCGUUGCAAAUUAAGUAAAACUGUGCAGCAUAGUGCCCACGUAUACAGAAACUUAUCUAGGCCUUGUUUAGUUGGCCAAUUUGGGAGAUGCAAAAUUACUGUGCCAGCACUGUAGCACACUGUAGCGUUUCAUUUGUAUUUGUGAAUUAUUGUCCAAAUAUUGACUAAUUAGGCUCAAAAGAUUCGUCUCGCAAAGUACAACAAAACUGUGCAAUUAAUUUUUAAUUUCGUCUACAUUUAGUACUCCAUGCAUGUACCGCAAGUUUGAUGUGAUGGGGAAUCUUCUUUUUGCAUAGUGUCAAAGUUGGGAGUUGGGGGUAACUAAACAUGGCCCUAGUAUAUACAAUGUUCGAUGUUUUGAUGCAUAUCACUUGAAUAUUUUGCUUUGAUGCUAUUAUUUGAGUCAUAAGAGGAUGAACAAUAUCUAAUCCUUUCCCUCCUUUCAGACUCAUGGACAUGCGGAGUACAUUGCACAGGUACGCUUGUUAAUUUGCCAUUAUUGUCUUGAUUUCAGCUCUUAUUAAUCUGCUACUGUUGAUCAUAUUUUCAGCACUUCUGUGUCUCAUCCUUUGUAACUUCCUCACUUUAGGAGGAGAUGGAAAGGAAGAUGGGGUUUUGGUGGUCUCCAGAUAGUGAGAACCUUGCUUUUACUGAAGUAGAUUCAUCUGAACUCCCACUGUAUAGAAUUAUGCAUCAGGGCAAAGAUUAUGUUGAUCCAACUGCUCAAGAGGACCAUCCAUACCCCUUUGCUGGAAAAGCUAAUGCUAAAGUGCGCCUUGGAGUUGUUCCUUCACAUGGAGGAGAAAUAACUUGGAUGGAUGUCCUUUGUGGUGAGCAAAAUAAGUCCAAUGGUAGUGAGGAGGAAUACCUUGCUAGAGUCAAUUGGAUGCAUAACAAAGCUCUUGCGGUUCAGGUUCUUAACAGAACCCAUACCAAACUUAAGCUGCUUAAGUUUAAUAUUGCUACUGGGAAAAGGGAACUAUUACUGGAAGAAAAGCAUAAUGUAUGGGUUACAGUACAUGAUUGUUUCACUCCUCUAUAUAAAGGAGGAAAUGAUAAAUAUCCAGAUUGUUUCAUUUGGGCCAGCGAGAAGACAGGAUUUAAACAUUUUUACCUUUGUGGUAACGAUGGAACUUGCCUUGGACCUCUCACACAAGGUGAUUGGAUGGUUGAGCAGGUGGUUGCUGUCAACGAGGGCACUGAACUGGUAUAUUUUACUGGUACAUUGGAUGGACCAUUGGAAUCACAUUUAUAUGUGACAAACCUUUAUCCUGACCAAAGUCUACCGUUACAAACACCCAAGAGAUUGACUCAUGGAACGGGAUGGCAUUCAGUUAUUCUUGACCAUCAGUUGCUAAGGUUCAUUGAUGUGCAUGAGUCAUCAAAGUCUCCUCCUGUGAUAUCACUUUGCUCAUUGUUUGAUGGAAGUGUAAUGAUUCCUAUAUAUCAGCCAGUGACAGACCCAAAACUUAUGAAGCUUCAGCAAUUGUCUCCAGAGAUGGUCCAGAUUGGCACAAAGGAUGGGACCACCUUAUAUGCAAAUAUGUACCUCCCUGAUGAGAAACAAUUUGGGCCACCCCCUUACAGAACACUAAUUAGUGUAUAUGGUGGUCCUAGUGUACAACUAGUAUAUGACUCAUGGAGUAACACAGUGGACAUGAGAGCUCAGUACCUGAGAAAUAAGGGUAUAUUAGUUUGGAAGGUUAGUAUUAUUUUCUUUUUAGUUUUUUAUGUUGAAAGUAAUGAGUUAAGACUUCAAGUCUACAUUGUUUUCCUUGUUCAUCCAGGAGUCGCAUGAUACUCAUAUGCUUCGGUUAACUAGAAAAAACUGGAUGGUAGAGAGAAACGUGAAAUGAAUAGUUUAUGGACUGCUGUAUACUGUAUUAAUUAUUGGAAUGUUUGAUUUUUGUUGAACUAGUUUUUUGCCGGUUAGCACUCCAUUGCAUGGAAUCGGAAAUGUUAUUGUGAGGAAUCUUAUUAAUCUGACAGCUUUGUCUGGACCCCAGCUAUGCCUUUAGUGAGUAUCAAAAUGGAGUCCCUAAAUUUGCAUGUUCGUAAAGAGAGAGAAAGAAGACCGCCAGUGGUUGUGCAGCUAUAUCAGGAACUUGGUAGUCUGUGCUAUUGCUAGUUUGCAUCAUGAUUUUGUUCAUCAGCUUCCAAUGACUAGGCUUCAUGGUUCCUUGUGCUUUGUGAUACAAAAGCAUAAGAGCAUUUUUCCAAAGGGUGGCAUCCAAACCCUUCUUUCUGAUUCCUGAUAGUUAGUGUGAGCAAGCAUAUCAUUUAAAAGAGUGCACACUCAGAAUAAUGUAAUUGAUGCCGCUAUUUUUGGUAGGGAUCAUACUUCAAUUUCUCUUAGUAUUAUUGUAGAACCUCAAAGUUGCAGCUUGCAGAAUCUCAAUUUGCAAGGAUGCGACAUCAUUUAAUUGCAUUGCUGGAAAGAUUUCUCAGACUAGGAUACACAUGAUGCAGUAUAACAUUGUUGUCCUAACAUUUGCAGCUGGAUAACCGAGGUACGGCAAGGCGCGGAUUGCAAUUUGAGGGACAGCUGAAGUAUAACAUCGGUCGUGUGGAUGCUGAAGAUCAACGGACAGGUGCAGAGUGGCUAAUAAAACAAGGCCUGUCCAUAAGGGGACGUAUAGGUCUGUACGGCUGGAGCUACGGUGGAUAUCUGUCAGCAAUGUGCCUUGCAAGGUUCCCUGACAUAUUCUGCUGUGCAGUAGCUGGUGCUCCAGUUACAGCCUGGGAUGGGUAUGAUACGUUCUACACUGAGAAGUACAUGGGCCUGCCAUCAGAGAAUAAGGACGUGUAUGAAUUUGCAUCGAUCAUGCAUCAUGUGAACAAUCUCAAGGGGAAGCUGCUCCUCGUUCACGGCAUGGUCGAUGAGAACGUACAUUUUAGGCAUACCGCAAGGCUCAUCAACUCGCUUAUUGCAGCGAGAAAGCCCUAUGACAUUCUCAUCUUCCCAGAUGCACGGCAUCUGCUGCGUGGGAAAUGCAACCGCCUUUACAUGGAGGAGAAUAUUAGGGAAUUUUUAGAUAGGAACCUGUGAGAUCUGCAGAAAAUUUUGUUGCCCCCUUUGGGCGGUUGAGAACUAGUUCAUCUGUAUACCUCCAUAGAAGGUAAAGAAGCAUAGAAUUUUUUUACUGUGCAGAGAAAUGUCUGCAGCAUUGCACGGUUAAAGGUGCAAUCCAGGUUUUCUUCGUUUGACUUUUUAUGGUGCAGUUGUACAAAAAUUUGCAGCACACUGCACUGUACCAUAUUAGAAAGUUACAUCAUAGCUUAUUCCUUUGUAAAAGUUGCAAUUGUUCAUUUUCUUACAGUAGCUGAACUAAACUGUUGAGCUUGAGCACAAUGGAAAAUGCCAGGCAAGAGAACUGGAGAAGGAACUGCAUUGUACAUGACUGUGAUGGACCUUUUCUUGUCGGCUUUUAGUUUGUGUGCUUUUGAGAAAUGAGAGGCGCAUUAUGCCAUGUUUCUCAUCUUUUCUGAGUUGGGUUGGGCUGUGCCAAAUUUGGGCUUUGGGCUUCAGAGUGUUGGAUUUUUGCUUUGAACCACGAGUGGGGAAUGGGUGGACAACAGUACAACACCCGCUCUACAGCCUCUACUAGUAUUUGGUUCGAGGAUACAGAAAUUGAGGUGCUUUCCCUUUCCUAGGCGACCAGUCUGACCAGGAACGUUCCAAGAUGGAUUUUUUUUUUCAAACGGAGUUCCUAGAUGGAAUUGGAACACAUGAAAAAUGGAAGGCCGAUAAUUAAAAGGCCUCUGGCCAAGUGGCGAUUGCUGUCAAAGCCACACAAGAGGUCAGAACUGCACGCGCACGUCUGAAAAUGCCUUAGCUUGGAAGCUCGCCUUGGUUAGUGAGGCUUCAGUUUGUGAAAAUCGCACUGGACUGUGAUGAGCUAGCAAACACAACCUUUGGUGAAAAGAAUGGCUAAAUUUUGGGUUGGCGUCCAUCUUCUUCAAAAAUGUAGCUCCCGAGUCCCAAAGAACAAACAAAUAGAUAAAUGAAGAUGGAAGUCUGCCAAACAGGACAGAAGGUUCUAUUGAAUUUUCGGCACCACUCCAGCGGCCCGCCCAAAGGCACCAAAAGAAAAUUGGCCUUUAAUAAAAUCGUUAUAUUUAUUGCAGAGGGGGUCCCUCGUCCACAAAUUAUUAUCAAGACCGAAUUAUUGGUGAUCUCCGACAGCAUCAACACCGCCAACUGGGACGCACAUGGAUUCAGUCAGGUCAGGCAGGUGGUUUUAUGGGCUGUUUGGUAAUAGGGUGUUAAAUUUAACACCCGUCACAUCGGAUGUUUGGAUAUUAAUUAGAAGUAUUAAAUAUAGGUUAAUUACAAAACUAAUUGCAUAGAUGGAGUGUAAUUCGCGAGACGAAUCUAUUAAGCCUAAUUAGUCUAUGAUUUGAUAAUGUGGUGCUACAGUAACCAUUUGCUAAUGAUGGAUUAAUUAGGCUUUAUAGAUUCAUCUCGUGAAUUAGCACAGGGUUCUGCAAUUAGUUUUAUAAUUAGCUUAUGUUUAAUUCUCCUAAUUAGCAUCCGGAGAUCCGAUGUGACACUGUUAAAGUUUAACACCUAGUAUCCAAACACCCAUGAUAACAAAAACCAUCCAUAAAUCAUCAGGAAAACGAAAUUUAAGAACCACCCGUAUACGGAUGAUUAGAUUCCACCGGAAACCAAGCGGUUAGGCCCGGCGCUCAAUGAUUUCAACGGAAAGCUUCGCCGCGUCAGCUCACUCGCCGCCCUGACUCGACCGGACGUGUCCGGCUCGCGGUUCCCCGGCAAAGCGAGGGGGUCGGAGCGGUCGGUGGAUUAAUUAACGUAAAGGAGAGGAGGAGCUGGGGAAAAUGGCGACGAGCGUACACGCGUGCCUGAUUCGACCCGUUCGGGGGUUCAAACAAAGCCGGUCUUCGAGGGCGGAGCGGAGGGGGAAAAAAAUAAAGGCGUGCGAGGAAUGGGACGCGUGUGCCGGCCAAUGGGACGGCGGCACGUAGGAUGGAAGCGCGUCCGGAGUAACGUUAACAAAAGUCAGUGGUCGUUGGAGCGGCUCUCUCCUCCACCAGCAGGCCUGGGAUUCUCCGGGUUUGAGUGAGCCUCGUCCGAACGGGUUUAACUCUUGCGUGCACACGUGGGUCCCGUCGGUGGAGUUAUUGGCUUCGUAGUAGUACCAUCUCUCCUGUAUUCUCUUACCGGCAAAAAAAAUACUCCUGUAUUCUCAACCUUAUAAAACAAAGUGCAUUCUGGUGGAGUGUAUACAACUACUGUAUAAGAUAAAAAAAAAAAGUCGGCAAAAAUGUAUAUGCUCUAUGUAUUCGGAUACUAACGUGUUAAAGUUUAACGCGCAGCGAAUUAAAUGCUUACCUAAUCUCUAUUUGGGACAUGGAACAUGUAUACUCCAACAAAGGUUUUUUUUCUUGAGCGGCCAGCGUUGAUUCGAAAGAAACUGCAUUGGUGGACACGUCAAAAUAAAUCUAGUUUUUUUAUGUGAUGCUCUUGCCCUCGGUUCAUGGAAUCUAUGGCAGCACAAAGAGUCGAUGAUAUUUUUCUAUGCAAUAUAUCUUUUUUCUCAAUAUUUUCUACUCCAUCCGUCCCAAAUCAUAAUUUGUUUUAACUUUUCUAGAUAUUUAAGUGCAUAGCAGUAUCUAUGAAUCUGCACUCCUUGUGGUUUGUUGACUUGUGCAUCUUCUAUCUCCAAUAUUGGCUGCAACUCAUGCUCCCCGUAAUGGCUGCUGACUCACUACUCAUCCUCGUACUACAGAUCCAGUGCAUGCUCUCUUUCUUGUUACCUUGCAUGAUCGUGCCAACCAAAGAAUAUUUUCCUUUGAACCAUUUGAUCAAAUCUCCACUCCAUGAGUGAAACCUUAUUCCUCUUCACUCGCCUGACGGUUCGGUUUGCAUGUAUACUAGAGCUACUCUUAAUUUCGUAAAUCCGCAACCAUCCAUGACAUUGUAGCAACGAAAGCUUCUUACUAUCAUUUCAUACAACUACUUAUACUUGGCAUCUAAUAACAUAGUUACAACUUCUAAAAGAAUUAUGACAGAACAUAUACGACGUUGGAGCUGCUUGUCUACUCUCUAUUUGAAUGCUACGUGAGCCUACAACUGGUUUUCCAAACAUUAUAGUUACUUACCUGUUGCGCCUUCAUGAAAUUUUUAAUGAAAGCCUUGGUUGGUAUGCUCAAUGUAAAAAAAAAUUAGCUCCUAGUCAUAAUAUCAGAGAUAGUUACAGUUUUGCAAAACUAAUUCAUUUUUAUUCUAGCAUGGUUUAGAUUGAGCAACAUGAGACUCCAAUUUACGGUGAAUGCAAUUCAGACAUGUACGUAACUAGUGCUACCACUUCUUUCAUUUGGGUGGGGAGGGGGCAUAAGCCCCUUUGUCGUCAGUCUUGGAUUCGCUCCAAUCAAAUAUAAUAUAAAUUAUUUUAUUUAUAAUUCUUAUGGAAAUAAGUUCGGUUGAUCUCCAUAUUAUUUUUUUUGCAAUAUUCAAGAAAUGAAAAAAAAAAUUGCGACGGCGUGGUUAUCUCUAUCAAAUUUAGCAACCUUGAAAUUCAGGUGUGCAAUAUUAAGAUUUAAAGAUGGUGCAGUCUUGCUUUUUUUUCCUCCCACUUUAUAACUUUAACUUAAUAAUUUAACCAUAGAUACUUGAUAGAAAAUUAUUACCGUCCUGCCCAAUAAAUUAAGAAAAUGUUUUAGGUUGAAGUGAUUAUUAAAGAUGGUCAUAUCGUAUGCAUAAAUAGGUUGAAAUUCCUUGAACUAGAUCCCAUUUGGGAAGGGCUUAUUUCGGCUUCAGUUUCACCUGUUUUGCGUAAAAUGAGGCACUAUAGCGUGAAACCGUUUUACAAGUCGAGAUAAAAUGAACUAGAAGGCAGGUGACACUGGUAGAAAAAUGAGCAUUAGUCCCGGUUGGAAAACCUCAUAUAUCUCGGUUUUCCCAUCUGGGACUAAAGGUGUCACCAUCUUUGGUCACAAGUCACGCGAUUUUUCACGCGAAAUAUGCGCGUGCGCGGUGCGUGGGAUUCAAACCCACGACCUCAAGCCUCGCGUGUAGCUUCCUUACCAUAUCACAUACACAGCACAUUUGACUGAGCAGGGGAUGCAAUCCUUUUGUAGUAACUCGUGGGGGACCCUCCCGGUUGGUAACACCAACCAGGACUAUUACCAACCGGGACUAAAAUCCUCGAAGGCUUUAGUUCAGGUUUGUAAUAUCAUUUGGGACUAAAGGAUCACCUUUAGUCCGAGUUCCGAGUUCAAAAACAUAUGAGAUUUUUGUUGAAGAUGGAAGGUCGUUUUCCUACUAGUGUGAAGCACUAUUUUUGCCUUCACCGGCUUUGGCUUCACUAGUGAAACGGGAAAGGAUCUUGAUGUCACCUAGAGGGGGCUGAAUAGGCAUACCCUGAAAUUAUCACAACUUAAAAACAAGUUUAUCAACGACUUCCGGUAUUUUCGAAGAUGUUUUCUGAAAUUCCGCAACCUAUGGAAUUUUCGAAGAAAUCUACAGAAAUAUCCGGAGCUGGGAGAGGGCACUUAUGAAGCAGAAUAAAACUCUCUCAGCCAGAAACCGGAACCUCUGAUUUUGUCGGUAUCAAAAAUCACGAGUCGAGACUACCGACUUAUAUCCAACUGACUGAUUAAUUUCUUAUAACGUACUCUAUUUUUCUUUGCCAAAUAAGCCAGCAAACGUUGACGUUUUCCCAAAAGUCUUCGUAGACCUCUUUCCGAUGAAAAAUCUUUUUUGUGUAAUUCCAAAUGUGAAGCAAGUCUCCGUAUCUUAUUGGUGAAACUGAAUACUUGAAAUUCAACAGAACCCCUGUUUUCUUGUUUUUCUUCUUUAACCAUAAAUCAAAAAAAAUUUCUACCUCCUUUCUUUUUCAUGUAUUUUUUCUGCGCGUUAGGCUCGGAUGGUUGUACGGGAGGACACGAGGAUUAGACUGAUUCGGGAAUGAAUAGCCCUACGUCCAGUGUGGGUGGAUGUUCGUGUUACUCGUACCAAGUUUGUAGUAGGGGCUACAAACGGACGAGAGAGGGAAGCUCCCAGGUCUCUGUGGGUGUUUGCCGAUGCUCAAAGUGUCUUGAGCGCUAGGGUUCUACGAGAGCUAUUGUGUGCGUUCGGUGUUGUUCUGUCGUUCGGGUCCCUCCCCUCAGGCCCCCUGGUCCCCCUUUUAUAGUGUAAGGAGGACACACUUGCUUCGAGGGGUCGGGCGUGUCCAACUCCUUGCGCCCGGGGUCGGGUGAGGUGGAAACUUGCUUCGAGGGGUUGGGCGCCCGACCCCUUGCGCCUGGGGUUGGGCGAGGUGGAAACUUGCUUCGAGGGGUCGGGCGCGUCCGGCCCCUUGCGCCUGGGGUCGGGCGAGGUGGAGCGAGGUACCUCCGGGGUGUGUUUUGGUUGGUGGAGAUUAUGGGUGCUAGUGGUGGGUCCUGGCCCUUACGACCGUUGAUUAGGGAGCAUAAGGAGGUCAUUAAUAUUUCUCCCCGACAGAUUUCCAAAACCGGAACUUCCAAUUUUGGCUCGGGCAGAGAAGACCCCCAAACCUAUGAGGUGAAACUGAG
rnacentral:lncRNA from 1 species